rnacentral:rRNA from 1 species
CGAAUGCUGACAUAAGUAACGAUAAAGCGGGUGAAAAGCCCGCUCGCCGGAAGACCAAGGGUUCCUGUCCAACGUUAAUCGGGGCAGGGUGAGUCGACCCCUAAGGCGAGGCCGAAAGGCGUAGUCGAUGGGAAACAGGUUAAUAUUCCUGUACUUGGUGUUACUGCGAAGGGGGGACGGAGAAGGCUAUGUUGGCCGGGCGACGGUUGUCCCGGUUUAAGCGUGUAGGCUGGUUUUCCAGGCAAAUCCGGAAAAUCAAGGCUGAGGCGUGAUGACGAGGCACUACGGUGCUGAAGCAACAAAUGCCCUGCUUCCAGGAAAAGCCUCUAAGCAUCAGGUAACAUCAAAUCGUACCCCAAACCGACACAGGUGGUCAGGUAGAGAAUACCAAGGCGCUUGAGAGAACUCGGGUGAAGGAACUAGGCAAAAUGGUGCCGUAACUUCGGGAGAAGGCACGCUGAUAUGUAGGUGAAGUCCCUCGCGGAUGGAGCUGAAAUCAGUCGAAGAUACCAGCUGGCUGCAACUGUUUAUUAAAAACACAGCACUGUGCAAACACGAAAGUGGACGUAUACGGUGUGACGCCUGCCCGGUGCCGGAAGGUUAAUUGAUGGGGUUAGCGCAAGCGAAGCUCUUGAUCGAAGCCCCGGUAAACGGCGGCCGUAACUAUAACGGUCCUAAGGUAGCGAAAUUCCUUGUCGGGUAAGUUCCGACCUGCACGAAUGGCGUAAUGAUGGCCAGGCUGUCUCCACCCGAGACUCAGUGAAAUUGAACUCGCUGUGAAGAUGCAGUGUACCCGCGGCAAGACGGAAAGACCCCGUGAACCUUUACUAUAGCUUGACACUGAACAUUGAGCCUUGAUGUGUAGGAUAGGUGGGAGGCUUUGAAGUGUGGACGCCAGUCUGCAUGGAGCCGACCUUGAAAUACCACCCUUUAAUGUUUGAUGUUCUAACGUGGACCCGUAAUCCGGGUUGCGGACAGUGUCUGGUGGGUAGUUUGACUGGGGCGGUCUCCUCCUAAAGAGUAACGGAGGAGCACGAAGGUUGGCUAAUCCUGGUCGGACAUCAGGAGGUUAGUGCAAUGGCAUAAGCCAGCUUGACUGCGAGCGUGACGGCGCGAGCAGGUGCGAAAGCAGGUCAUAGUGAUCCGGUGGUUCUGAAUGGAAGGGCCAUCGCUCAACGGAUAAAAGGUACUCCGGGGAUAACAGGCUGAUACCGCCCAAGAGUUCAUAUCGACGGCGGUGUUUGGCACCUCGAUGUCGGCUCAUCACAUCCUGGGGCUGAAGUAGGUCCCAAGGGUAUGGCUGUUCGCCAUUUAAAGUGGUACGCGAGCUGGGUUUAGAACGUCGUGAGACAGUUCGGUCCCUAUCUGCCGUGGGCGCUGGAGAA